GGGAGUGGCAGCAGCACUUGGGGAAAGGAGCUGAGUGGAGACCAAAGUGAGCUGGCAGACAGUGGGUCUGUGAGAGACCGAAUAGAGGGGCCGAGUGCCAAUUGACAAGCAAUGGGGAAGAAACAGAAAAACAAGAGCGAAGACAGGGCCAAAGAUGACAUUGAUCUUGUUGCCUUGGCUGCAGAAAUGGAAGGAGCUGGUGCUGCCAAAGAACAAGAGCCUCAAAAGUCAAAAGGGAAAAAGAAAAAAGAGAAAAAAAGCAGGACUUUGAUGAAGAUGAUAUCCUGAAAGAACUAGAAGAAUUGUCUUUGGAAGCUCAAGGCAUCAAAGCUGACAGAGAAACUAUUGCAGUGAAGCCAACAGAAAACAAUGAAGAGGAGUUCACCUCAAAACAAGAUAAAAAAAAGAAAGGACAGAAGGGCAAAAAACAGAGUUUUGAUGAUAAUGAUAGUGAAGACUUGGAAGAUAAAGAUUCAAAAUUUAAAAAGACUGCAAAACCAAAAGUGGAAAUGUACUCUGGGAGUGAUGAUGAUGAUGAUUUUAAUAAACUUCCUAAAAAAGGGAGAGCUCAAAAAUCAAGAAGUGGGAUUGGUCUGAAGAGGAUGAGGAUAACAGUAACAAAAUUAAAGAGCGUUCAAGAGUAAAUUCUUCUGGUGAAAGUCUUGAUGAAUCAGAUGAAUUUUUGCAAUCUAGAAAAGGACAGGAAAAAAAAUCAAAAAAACAAGUCAGAUCCUAAUAUAGAAAGUGGGAAUGAAGAUGUUGAUGACUCCUUCAAAAUUAAGACAGUGGCCCAAAAGAAAGCAGAAAAGAAGGAGUGCGAGAGAAAAAAGCGAGAUGAAGAAAAAGCAAAACUGCGUAAGCUGAAAGAAAAAGAUGAAUUACAAACAGGUAAAAAGGAUCAGAGUAAACAAAAGGAAUCUCAGAGGAAAUCUGAAGAAAAAACUGUAAAAUCCAGAGUGACUCUUGAUACUGGAGUAAUCCCUGCCUCUGAAGAGAAAGCAGAGACUCCCACAGCUGCAGAAGAUGACAAUGAAGGUGACAAAAAGAAGAAAGAUAACAAGAAAAAGAAAGGAGAAAGAAGAAAAAAGGACCUGGCAAAGCCACUGUUAAAGCUAUGUAAGAAGCUCUGGCUAAGCUUAAAGAGGAAGAAGAAAGACAGAAGAGAGAAGAGGAAGAACGUAUAAAACGGCUUGAAGAAUUAGAAGCCAAGAGUAAAGAAGAGGAACGACUGGAACAAGAAAAAAGAGAAAGGAAAAAGCAAAAAGAAAAGAACACUUGAAAAAGGAAGGAAAACUUUAAAUCACAGAGAGAAGCCAGAGCUGAAGCUACCCUUAAACUCCUACAAGCUCAGGGUGUUGAAGUGCCAUCAAAAGACUCUUUGCCAAGGAAGAGGCCAGUUUAUGAAGAUAAAAAGAGGAAAAAAAUACCAUAGCAGCUAGAAAGUAAAGAAGUGUCUGAAUCAAUGGAAUUAUGUGCUGCUGUAGAAGUUAUGGACCAAGGAGUAUCAGAAAAGGAAGAAACACCACCUCCUGUUGAACCAGAAGAAGAAGAAGACACUGAGGAUGCUGGAUUGGAUGAUUGGGAAGCUAUGGCCAGUGAUGAAGAGACAGAAAAAGGAAAUAUAGUUCAUAUAGAAGUAAAGGAAAACCCUGAAGAGGAGGAGGAAGAAGAUGAAGAAAGUGAAGAAGAGGAGGGAGAAAGUGAAGGUGAUGAGGAAGAUGAAAAGAUGUCAGAUGAGAAGGAUUCAGGGAAGACAUUAGAUAAAAAGCCAAGUAAAGAAAUGAGCUCAGAUUCUGAAUAUGACUGAUGAUGAUCGGACUAAAGAACAGAGGGCUUAUGACAAAGCAAAACGGAGGAUUGAGAAAUGGUGACUUGAACUUAGUAAAAAUGUAAAUACCACAAAGCGGAGAGCCCCCAUUUUCUGUGUACUUGGGCAUGUGGACACAGGGAAGACAAAAAUUCUGGAUAAACUCUGUCACACACAUGUACAAGAUGGUGAAGCAGGUGGUAUCACACAACAAAUUGGGGCCACCAAUGUUCCUCUUGAAGCUAUUGAACAGACUAAGAUGAUUAAAAAUUUUGGUAGAGAGAAUGUAUGGAUUCCAGGAAUGCUGAUUAUUGAUACUCCUGGGCAUGAAUGUUUCAGUAAUCUGAGAAAUAGAGGAAGCUCUCUUUGUGACAUUGCCAUUUUAGUUGUUGAUAUUAUGCAUGGUUUGGAGCCCCAGACAAUUGAGUCCAUCAACCUUCUCAAAUCUAAAAAAUGUCCCUUCAUUGUUGCACUUAAUAAGAUUGAUAAGUUAUGUGAUUGGAAAAAGAGUCCCGACUCUGAUGUGGCUGCUAUUUUAAAGAAGCAGAAAAAAAAUACAAAAGAUGAAUUUGAGGAGUGAGCGAAGGCUAUUAUUGUAGAAUUUGCACAGCAGGAUUUAAAUGCUGCUUUGUUUUAUGAGAAUAAAGAUCCCUGCACUUUUGCGUCUUUGCUACCUACCUCUGCACAUACUGGUGAUGGCAUGGGAAGUCUGAUCUACCUUCUUGUGGAGUUAACUCAGACCAUGUUGAGCAAGAGACUUGCGCACUGUGAAGAGCUAAGAGCACAAGUGAUGGAGGUUAAAGCUCUCCCAGGAAUGGGCACCACUAUAGAUGUCAUCUUGAUCAAUGGGCAUUUGAAGGAAGGAGAUACAAUCAUUGUUCCUGGCAUAGAAGGGCCCGUUGUAACUCAGAUUCAAGGCCUCCUGUUACCUCCUCCUAUGAAGGAAUUAUGAGUGAAGAACCAGUAAGAAAAGCAUAAAGAAGUAGGAGCAGCUCAGGGGGUAAAGAUUCUUGGAAAAGACCUGGAGAAAACCUUGGUUUGUUUACCCCUCUUCAUGGCUUAUAAAGUAGAUGAAAUCCCUGUUCUUAAAGAUGAAUUGAUCCAUGAAUUAAAGCAGACACUAAAUGCUAUCAAGUUAGAAGAAAAAGGAGUCUAUGUCCAUGCAUCUACACUGGGUUCUUUGGAAGCUCUACUUGAAUUUCUGAAAACAUCAGAAGUGCCCUAAGCAGGAAUUAACAUUGGCCCAGUGCAUAAAAAUGUUAUGAAGGCUUCAGUGAUGUUGGAACAUGACCCUCAGUAUGCAGUAAUUUUGGCCUCCGAUGUGAGAAUUGAACGAGAUGCACAAGAAAUGGCUAAUAGUUUAGGAGUUAGAAUUUUUAGUGCAGAAAUUAUUUAUCACUUAUUUGAUGCCUUUACAAAAUAUAGACAAGACUACAAGAAACAGAAACAAGAAGAAUUUAAGCACAGAGCAGUACUUCCCUGCAAGAUGAAAAUAUUCCCUCAGUACAUUUUUAAUUCUCGAGAUCUGAUAGUGAUGGGGGUGACAGUGGAAGCAGGUCAGAUGAAAUGGGACACCCAUGUGCAUCCCAAGCAAAAAUUUUGUUGACAUCAGAAUAGUAACAAGUAUUGAAAUAAACCAUAAACAAGUGGAUGUUGCAAGAAAAGGACAAGAAGUCUGUGUAAAAAUAGAACCUAUCCCUGGUGAGUCGCCCAAAAUGUUUGGAAGACAUUUUGAAGCUACAGACAUUCUUGUCAGUAAGCUCAGCCGGCAGUCCAUUGAUGCACUCAAAGACUGGUUCAGAGAUGAAAUGCAGAAGAGUGACUGGCAGCUUAUUGUGGAGCUGAAGAAAGUAUUUGAAAUCAUCUGAUUUUUCCACAUGGAACAGGAACUGGAGUAAAUGCAAUACUGUGUUGUAAUAUCCCAACAAAACAAGACAAAAAAUGGAACAGAUUUAUCUGGACACUAAUGGACUUAAAUAUGGAAGGAAGAAAAAUAGGUGUAUAAGAUGUUUUCCGUGAGAAACCAAGAAACUUACACUGGUUUGACAGUGGUCAGUUACAUGUCCCCACAGUUCCAAUGUGCCUGUUCACUCACCCCUCCUUUCCCCAACCCUUCUCUACUUGCCUGCUGUUUUAAAGUUUGCCCUUCCCCAAAUUUGGGUUUUUAUUACGGAUCUAAAGCUCUUUCAAUUUUAUACUGAUUAAAUCAGUACUGCAGUAUUUGAUUAAA